AGUGAACGCUGGCGGUAGGCCUAACACAUGCAAGUCGAACGGCAGCACAGUAAGAGCUUGCUCUUACGGGUGGCGAGUGGCGGACGGGUGAGGAAUACAUCGGAAUCUACUUUUUCGUGGGGGAUAACGUAGGGAAACUUACGCUAAUACCGCAUACGGCCUACGGGUGAAAGCAGGGGAUCUUCGGACCUUGCGCGAUUGAAUGAGCCGAUGUCGGAUUAGCUAGUUGGCGGGGUAAAGGCCCACCAAGGCGACGAUCCGUAGCUGGUCUGAGAGGAUGAUCAGCCACACUGGAACUGAGACACGGUCCAGACUCCUACGGGAGGCAGCAGUGGGGAAUAUUGGACAAUGGGCGCAAGCCUGAUCCAGCCAUACCGUGUGGGUGAAGAAGGCCUUCGGGUUGUAAAGCCCUUUUGUUGGGAAAGAAAAGCAGCAGGUUAAUACCCCGCUGUUCUGACGGUACCCAAAGAAUAAGCACCGGCUAACUUCGUG
rnacentral:rRNA from 1 species